rnacentral:rRNA from 1 species
UACGUAGGCAGCAAGCGUUGUUCGGAAUUACUGGGCGUAAAGAGUGUGUAGGCGGUGCUCUAAGUCUGUUGUGAAAUCUCCCGGCUUAACCGGGAGGGUGCGGCGGAAACUGGAGUGCUUGAGGGUGGGAGAGGUAAGCGGAAUUCCUGGUGUAGCGGUGAAAUGCGUAGAUAUCAGGAGGAACACCUGUGGUGUAGACAGCUUACUGGACCACUUCUGACGCUGAGACACGAAAGCUAGGGGAGCGAACAGG